AACAGAGUGAAUGCUGUAACGUAAGCUGCAGUAGGUGCCAAUGAACACGAGGACAGCAGAAAUACUUUAAGAUGCAACAAGGCUUAGGUGUGCGGUGGACCUCGGUCUGGUCUGCUGGGAAAAGGCAGUGACCGUAGAACAGCUUGGCACUUACAAUUAGAAACUGCUGACACUGUAAGUAGAGACGAGUCCCUGGCACCAUUGCAAAUAGCAACACGCUUUGUGGGAAAGGACUGCUGGACUCUCACCCACGUUCCCAGUCACAGAGACAGCAUUCUCGCUCAUUUUCCUUGUGAGUUCUCCCUUAUCUCCAGAAUUUUUUGUGCCUGCGGAUCUCUGAGUAUUUUUCCCUCCUUACCCUCGACCCACUGAAUGAAUGCCCUUGUUCUCCUGGAGAAAUCUUCCUUCAAGUGUCACUUUUCUAAUACCCCAAGGAAGUUCUCACUCCUUUAGGAAAGAUUCCAUGGGCAGGCAGCACUGAUGCUCAGUGCAGAGACGACUCUGCCUGUCUUCCCUGGUUCGGGUCUCCUUGCCGCACUCCCUUUCCUGCUGGAUGGGGAACCCCCAGGCCUGUGUCAUUGGAGACGGGGCCCGGGGAAGGACACGCUCAAAGCUUUCUAAUGUCACCGUUUCCACAAAGUGUCAGGGGCUCUUUGUUCCUCAGGCACUAAUUCUCAAUAAAGUCUACCCAACUUUC